rnacentral:rRNA from 1 species
UAAUACACGAAAAACCUUACCAAGGUUUGACAUCCCUCGCAAAGCUAUAGAAAUAUAGUAGAGGUUAUCGAGGUGACAGGUGGUGCAUGGCUGUCGUCAGCUCGUGUCUUGAGAUGUUUGGUUAAGUCCCGCAACGAGCGCAACCCCACUCUUUAGUUACUUGUCUAAAGAGACUGCACAGCAAUGUAGAGGAAGGAUGGGAUCACGUCAAGUCAUCAUGCCCCUUAUGCCUUGGGCUGCAAACGUGCUACAAUGGCGAACACAAUGUGUUGCAAACCAGCGAUGGUAAGCUAAUCACCAAAUUUCGUCUCAGUUCGGAUAGGAGGCUGCAAUUCGCCUCCUUGAAGUUGGAAUCACUA